rnacentral:misc_RNA from 1 species
GUUUGUAAACAGAGCAGUACCACUACCGGGCACCGGCUCACAGUUUCGUAAUUCGUAGUUUCGUACUGUUACCUGAUGCCGGCCUUCGCUGUAGACGGCAACUUGGACUCUUGGAGAUGACCCGGCCGCUCUCGAAUGCCCUCAACGGGCUGAAAAAAGCACUGUCAGAUGGUUUGCCGGCCAACAAACUGAACCCGCUGGUCAACACCGUCUGUGCAAUUACGGAAGACUUGUUCAACAGCCGGGCCGAAGAGGAGCUAGGGUUUGACGUGGCAUCUUUCUUUGACCAUAAUGGCGUUCUCUACAUGCUUCAACAUUGUGAAAUAAAUGUUUCAAUAAAAAAACGACUAUUGAAUUGUUUUAAAAUAAUACUAAAACUGCAAUGUCCAUACUUGGAGUGCUACACAAAUGAAAUUUGGACGUUUUUUAAUAAUUACCUGUAUGCAACAAAAGAUGAAGAAUUUGAUGAGAAUUUAUAUUUUGACAUAUGCAACGCUUUACCCAACUCGAGAUGUGAAAUAAUACAAAAUUUCAACCUCUUCAUUCAUCAAAUACUUCCUACUUUUUAUGAUAGACGAAUUGAAAAAAUGAAAAUUUUAUGCACACUAUUGAAAUGUUUUCCUGAAAAGAACAGUAUGAACAAAGAAGACACAGGAUUUAUAUUUGCUAUGCUUAUUAGUCAAGAUAAUUGGAGUAAAGAUACUGUUCAUUUUAUCCUAACGAGUUUGCACUUGUUGAAAGGAAACAGUUUUUAUCACUCUUUGUUUAACUCACAAUUAAAACAUAUUUUUAAUCAAAUGACUGAAUGGUUGGAAGCUGAGAAGAUUUUUAAUAGACAAAUUGCAGAUUCCUGGACGUUAUUCAUCAAGGACAACUUUAAAAAAUUCAACACACAUAUUUUUGGAAACACCCGGUGGUUCACGCAAAUGGAAAGAAUAGUUAACAGUCCUAAUGAAAAUAUUAAAUUUUCAUUGAAAGCGCAAUGUGCCCAACAGUACUUCAAGUGCCUUCUAAAACAGGAUAAUGACGAUCAGUUGCUGCGUUAUUAUAAAAUGUUUCUUAAAGAAUUUGAAAACAAACAAGUUCCUUUGAGACUAUUCUCAGUUCACUUUUUAAAAUUAUUCAUACCUUGGAAGUACGACACGAUUCCACCUGAGGAUCAAGUUAUUUUUAAUGACAUGUUGAUUAACCAUUUGUAUUGGAGGUUUGGAUCUGAUGAGUACUCGUUCCCUCUUGGUGACUAUUUGGAACUUAUGUCAUUAUUCUUUUUGAAAUGUCGAAACUCAUUUCAUGCAAACUCAUUCUUCUACAAAAAUAUACUUUUUCAAACGAUUAUGUUAUAUCCAAAAUCUGAUUGCAAAGAAGAGCUUGGAAAUAAUAUUAUUGCAUCUCUUUACAUUUUUGACCAACUGUCAGGAAACAUCGAUAGUAUAGUACACGGAUGUAUAAUCAAACAGUGUUCUCACAAAUGGGUUGGCAAUUAUGAACAGGAGAAGAAGAAAAUUCAGUUUAAUACUUAUCAUCAAUAUGUUUCUUUCUGGAUACAUAUUAUGUGUUUUCAAUGCGAAAACACUACAAUAGAAAUUCCUCAAAAAGAUAGGGACAUUUUUUGUCAAAAAUUAUUGUCAUCGUUUAUAAAAUUGCUUGAACAAGGAUUCGAAAUGAGUUUAGAAUCAGACUUUACGAAGAGUCGAAAUAGUCAAGAAUUCACUGAAAGCACAAUUAUUUCAACUUACAAUGUAAAUGUAACCAUUUUUGAAAAUUUUUCUGUGUUAUUCUGCUGUGUUGUCAAUGAAAUUUGUGAAAAAAUACCAGUUCCUGUGAUUGCUGAUUUGUUUAACAAAGUGACUAGCAUGUCAAGGAGAAAUCCUGACAUCUAUGGUUUAUAUGCCAUUACGGCGACUUGUUUAAACAUUAUGAAGAAACACAGCUAUAUAUUAAAUUUUGAAUUAAGUAAUGACUUGUUUAAUAUAAACCAAAUUACAUUUGAGUAUUUUAACCAUUUAUUCCAAAACGGAAAAACAUUUGAUGAGAAGUUGUUAGAGACACUAGAGACAAUUAUCUCAAUUCCUGUGAAGUUAGUGCCAUAUUUUUCCCCUGAAUUGCUUAUAUUUUUCAAGAAUAUUUUUUACAAUCAUUUCUAUGGUUCGGAACCAGUUUACAAAAGUUUAAAUGCUAUACAUUCAUGGAUUACAAUUCUUGGACUAGGACAACUGGAAAAUUUUCUUAGAGACCUCAUACCUUCUUUUAGAAAAUUUAUAUUCCAACUUGAAAGUGAUGUUGAUGAUAAAAUAUUUAAGCAUACGUCCAAUUCUUAUAAUUGUAUCAUUAAGCUUUUGGCCUUAUUUCCACAAAACCUGUGCUGCCACUUGUUUGAUCAAGAUCCAUUGGCAGAAGUUCAAUCUUCAUACCGGCUGAGUUUACAUGUGCCAUCAAAAAAACUUAUGGGACUAUCCUUCCAAAUAGAUUGCAUUAUACCACGUGUCAUAUUACUUGUGAGUGAAACUGCCAAUGGAAAACUAAAGCAAUCCUCUUGUGAGCUACUUCAUUCACUUUGUGUAUUCUGUUUAGGCACAAGUUCACAGUUGGAUCUGUUACACAGUACAAAUUUUAAAAUCUUACUCAACAGUAUAAUUGAGACCAUGAUUUCAACUUCAUAUCGCUCUGACGGAGUAGUUUACGAAAUGUUCAAAUGCUUGCUUUUUGAAAUCUGCCAUCUCUUUGCGACAAGGCUUCAUUAUUAUAGUAAUUUUGCAAGCUCUUUUAUUGACAUUAUACUGAGAGGACUGUCGAAUGAAGUCACUUCAGGUGCAAAGAAGUUAAGCAUGAAGUGCAUGAACGAAUUUAUCACCUGGACAUCAAAAAGUGAAAACAAUGAUAUCAUUCUUAAUAACAGUCGAGAACUUGUAACAAAACAAAUUUGCUAUUAUUUCCUUCAUGGCUGUACAAACAGAAGGAGGGGGGCAGCCAUAGCUUUUAAUUGUAUUGCCGAAACAGUUCUUAAGGAAAGAGAUUACGUUAACAAAUACAGCAUUUACAUUAUAUUCUACAUGAUAACAAGUUUAGAAACUUACGAUGAAAAAAAUAACGAAAUGAGAACUUUUUUGGAAUUGUUACAAAUUGCUGUAGUCGAUUUUUUUGAACCCGAUUCGUUCAGAGAGAGGCUACAUCCGGAAGGAAUUGAAGAUACAACCAUGCAAUGUCUUUUAAAGUGGCUACUUGGAAAGUGUACUUCAUACAGUUAUGAGUGUCGUAAUAGUUGUAUUAAAUUGAUAAAUCUAUUUAGUGAUCAUUACAAAGAUGCAAUAGACAUAUCUCAUUUGUUUUCUGAUAAUGAUAAAACUUACCUUAGUCAAUUUAUGAAAAUCAUUGAUAUGGAGCCUCCAAGGCAAGGUGAUGAUUUAUUAAAAUGGCUGUCAACUUUGAACAUUGUGUUGGAAUAUUUGGAAUUUCAUCUUAGUAAAGUUGGCUCAAAUCCACCUUUGCUAGAGUUGAUUUCAAAAUCAAUUCAUGGCUUCUUUGGGGUGCUGGACAAUUUAGAAGGGCAUGACGACUUCGCAUGCAAUAUACCGAAUGAAAUGGUGAACAAAAACAAAAUGAAACAUUUGUGGUAUAAGCGCAGCAUAACAUCAAAUAUUGCAAGAAUAUUUGCAAAUGAUUCAAACUUAUUAGAAAUCACUGUUAAUUCUAAUCCCAGUUCACUUAUCAACUUUAUAUGCAUGUAUUUUACUUGCCCUUUAAAGGUUGGGUAUUUCGGACACCACGCUCAUCUAGAAUUGGCAAAUAUAGUGAAAAUAGUACAAAACUUGUCGAUUGUGAAAAGUACUUUGCUGAAUCAACUAGUCCAAAAGUAUAAUGAGACUGUUGAUUUGGUAUUGAACACACUGCAAAGUUAUUCCUGCCCCACGCAAGAAUAUUUUGACCUCCUUUCUAAGCUGGAGUUUUUAUUUCGAGAGACAAAUAAAUACGACAUAAUAAAGGCUUGGAAAUGGUCUCCUCUCAGGAUUAUGAAUUAUUUGAAACAAUUGGUAAUUAAUGGAAAAAUUAAAUCAAAUCAAAUUAAUUACCAAGCAAGAAAAUUGUUAUCUAAAAUACUCGAUUUUUCAAUUUCACUGACACCUCAAAAUACAUCUUGGUUUUGGAACCUUUUCUGUUUUAACGAAGGCUCUAUGUUGGAAAAUUACUGGUUGAUGACCGAGUUUGAUUUUUUUUUAAUAUUUAAGGAUGUGUUUUGCAGUUACAUUGUUCAAAAUUUUGAUGAAUCAUCCGUCGGAAAUUUAAAUUCUGCAAAAUUGGUCAUUAUUAAAGAAGUAUUGGAAUGGGCUAACAAGGACCAACCUUGCAACACAAUUGGUAUUGGAAAUGCUGUAUUAAAGUAUUUUAUCAAUCAGUGGAGAGAUACGGAAAAGUGGCUGGAAAUGCAUUCAUCGAAGAAAAACGACAUUCUCGACUUUCUCUAUGUUUUGGUGAAAACCAUGCAUGUUUGUUUUUAUGGCAAAUCAAAAUUGGGAAAUUGGAUUUGGUCGGAAUUCGAUUUUACCAAUAUCAAUUAUAUAAAACUGCUUCCUUAUGUUGUUUCAUCCUCUUCUUAUCUAUUAAUUACAAAACUUAAAAACAGCAGCUGUACCGAAACUUUAUUUCAAGAAAAAUUAUGGAACGGUUUUAAAUGUUCUGCCAACACCAGUUUGAUCGCUUUUAUCAUUUCAAACACUCUAAAGGAGAAAGGUGAAGCACACUUCUCUACACAUGACAUAUCGAAUAUGCUUUCGAGGAUGCCAAAAGAAACAGAAAACACUUUGAUUUGUGAUAGCUACAAUGCGAUCUUGUGGAACGAUGGUGAUUUGGAAAAAAGAUUACAUCUAUUGAAAAAUAUAUUCGUCCCUUUAUGCUAUAAGGCAGGUUUAGAAUCCAUAACAAGAUUUUAUGUAGAGAAACUUAAAGAAUUAAAUACGAUAAUAUCAACAGACAUUAUUCAAUCUGUUGCUCCUCCUAACGAGGAGGAAAAAAGUCUCAUCAGUAAAAAGACUAUAGCCUUUAUUAUUCUAGAGACUAUGUUUGGAGUUCUCAAAAUUGAAUAUGUUCUCAAAUGUAUAAAGCAAGGAUUUAAAACUGACAAUGCAAGAAAUUUGGUUAAACAAAUGCUUCUUAGAGCGUAUAACAUUAGAAAGUGUAAACCGCACGAGCUUGGUGGGAAAACUUACUGUGAAUACUGGCGGUCGCUUCAGUGCGCUGCAUUUAAUUGUACAGCUGCAAUUAUUUGCAAUACUAAAAACGGCAGUGGUGAUGAAAUGUUUUAUGCAAAGUUUAUUUUUAAAGAGGAUCGUGAUAAAUGGAUGAUAUGGGAUAACAUUACCUAUAAACAAGAUGAUGUCGCCUUUGUUUCUUUCGAAGAACGUAAAAGAUCAGCUAAAAUUAAAGUCUCGACAUCAUUACAGUACAAAGAUAAAUUAAAAUUAGAGGAGAAUAUUUACGAUAAAGUUGGGUCAUCUAGUUUCUCACUGUCAACAUUUAGUCAGGAUUGUAAAACAUUUGAUUUUGUCGGUUCCGCUGAUAUUCCAGCUAUGAAUCGGGAAUGCAGCUACCAAGAAUUUCAAUUUAAAAAAGACCAAUUCAACGAACACGAAUGUAUGGGGAUUUUGUGUGGAGUUUUACAUCAAAUGAUUAAUAUUGGUGUUAUUAAGAAAAAUGACCCUAGCAUGCCGGUGUGGAUAUCUUCAUUACUUAAUUCUUUCACUUUUCCCACUUUAAGAGUAUAUGGUAAAUUAUUAAUUCUUAAGAUGAUUUUGAACACAAGAGAAAUAUUUAAACCAUACGCACAGUACUGGUUAUUGCCGAUAAUAGUCACAGCUAAUUCCAUCAUUCCUCCUUUACCAAAUCAAAAGCUGAAUUACAUGCUAUCUGACAUUGUUGUAAUGCUUCUUUCAUGGCGAGAUGCCGCCCUUCCAAAACCUACAUUUCAAAUAUGGGUGCUGAUAGAGAAAAUUAUUUCAUCUUCACCACCAAAUAUGGACAAACCUGAACUCAAGCAAAAUAUGUAUCUAAUUACAGAAAUAAUGAUUCACUGGGGCUCUAGCCUCAUAAAACCCAAAUUAGAUUCUCUUAGACAGCUGAUAACAUCUAAAGACCUGCGACAUAAUAAAAUGGGACUUCAAAUUUUUCAACUUCUUCUUAAACACGGGGUUCAAGUUUCUUCGAGUGUUAGUGAGGAGACAAACUUUGAUGAAUUUAUGCAAUUAAUUGAUAAUGUUGAUCAAGACAUAUUUAUAUUAUCGGCUGAAAUUUUGGGACUUUUAUUGAGACUUUCUGUUAGUGAAGAAUCAAGAAUGGAAAGGCAAAUAAAAUUAGUCGACGUUCUGUCUAGAAUGCAUAUAAAACAUAAAGCAAAGUUUUUUGUCAUUUUUUACCAUAUUCAACUACAUUAUCCACAGUUAUGCCAUAUGUUCAUUUCCCACAUAAUUACAAAUCUGAAGCAUCAGUGUUACAACGAUACUUACAUCAAAUCUCUCAAUAUACUAAACAGUUUCUUAGCAGAAGGGCCAAACCUGGAUAAAAAUGUUUUUCAACAAUUAAAAGAUUGUUUUACAUCAAUCAAUAAUGAAGAUCAAAAAGUGUUAUGCCCCAUGCUGCAAGUUACCUUGACGUGCUUUCAAAAGUACACCGACUUUUCUCAUUUGCUAAGUUUUGAAAAUUUAAAAGUACUUAUAGCUCAGCAAAGUUUAAAUGAAGAAACACGAGGGAAAUUAUGUGAUGUCUUAGUUUCCAUGUAUGAAAGAUAUCAUGUACCUAACAGCCGAGAAGAAAGUGAAUGUAUGAAAGAAAUAGAGGCAUAUCUGUUCGUUAAACUUUUUGAUGAAAGUGCACAAAUUCAGAGUAAAAUGUUGCAAUUUUGGGUUAAAGCUGGUGUUCUCCCUCCUGAUGUGGAAAAAGCAGUUCUCUUUUUAUUAGAAUACGCACUAAAAGUUUCUUAUCAAAAAAACUUAUUAGGCAUAUUGAUCAAUGUGCUAAUCAAGUACCUGGAGCAAUUUGUAAAUUUUUCCGAACAGGUUUUCCAGUUUGCUCUCAUUGACUACAAUAAUGGACAGAUUUGUCAAAUUUACAACAAGCCAUACAAAGUUAAUGAAGGUGAGAUACUGCAUGCACCAAAGUUUGUCAUUUCAACGGACAAUUUGAGUGUUUAUAACAAGUGCCAAAAAGAAAAAAAAGGUAGUACUUGUGAAAAUUUGGAGAGACAAUAUAGAUACUACCAUGGAGAUUAUCCGUAUACCAAAAUUGCUCUAAUUGACAUAUUAAAGCCAUUGUCUUCUUUAGCAUUGUUCGAUGAAAAUUUUGCUCAAAAACUUUUCUUAGCAUUGGCUAAUGGAAUUUGUGAGUUGAUUAAGAAAGACCUUUCCCGCUGGGCUGACUUUAAGACCAACUUUACUGCGUUAUUCAAUAUAAUAGACAGAAAGCAACCUACGGUGAAACAUAAAAUUUAUCACGUUAUGUUAGAGAUUGCAAUUAGCAAUGAUAUCUGUUUCAAUUUUAACAAUACAAUAACAGAUUUGUGUAUAAGCAAUAGAUUAGAAGAACUGGGCAUACUUUUUGCUGAAAACUGUAUUGUUAAUGACAAUAGAGAAGAAGUAUAUGAGGAAUCUUCGUCUAAAAGAAUAAAGCUGGACCCUAGUUGCAUUAAGGACGAGGAACCGUAUAUUUCAACAAUUAUAAGGUUGUACCUUAGCAUCAAUGAGGAUGAUGUGGCUACAGAUAUAUUUGACGACUAUGUCUCCAAGGAAGAAAUAUACAGAAAUCAGUCUCAACAGUACCUCAGUUCUUUAUUUAAACUAAAGAAAUGUUAUGCACUUUUUGAUUGGGAGUCAUUGGAUAAAUUACUAUUUCCUGAAGGUGAAAGUUGUAGUUCAUUUUGGAACAGUCAUGAUUUAAUUUCAAGAAAAACUGAUAUAUUUCCAUUUAUUGUAAAAUCAACUGUGCAGCAAGCUAUUACUGGACGAUGUGACGCUCAACUGUUAAAACUUGAAAAAUUGACUCCUUUCAUGGAGGAUUUUGGGGCAGAAUUAUCUUUACUUUAUCUUUUAAAAGAAGAUGUUACAAAUUUGAGACUCAGUGCGCAACUGUCUUUGAGGAACCACAUUAACAAUUUUAAGAGGGAGUUCUCAGAUGUGAAAUUUUUUUCAAUACAUGGAUACAUUUUGAAACUGAAAAGUCUCAUCGAUUUAUAUAUGUUGUCAAGGGCAGAGAAUUUUUACCUGACCCAUUUUGUGGAUGAGUAUUGCGAUGUCAGAUUAAAAUUCUAUGGGAAUCUUUUGAACUAUGUUGACUACAGAGCCUUUUGCAGGGAAAUUCUACAUAUUAAUGGAUUCAAUUGUACAGCUGUGAAUUCAAGAGAAUGGGCUAUUGAAAUGAUAGAUUUUGCAGUUUCUAAACAUAAGUUUUACAUGGCAAGAAAAUACUUAGUGAAGUUGCACAAAAAAUUGGAUGACAACAUGGAAACACCUGUUAACAAAAUCAUCAAUCAAAUUAAACUGGGUGAAGUAGGCUUGCUGAAAGUACAAAUGAUAAAUGAGCCUACAUUGAAAUUAGAGAGUUUGAAAACGAAUUGGAAAGGAUUAAGUGAACUAAUAGCGUUAGUCAACGAAAAUGCUGACUGUUUUUCCGAAAGAAAAACGAUUCAGAUCAUUAAUCGCUAUAUAGCAGUUUUAUGUGCUGAGCUGAUCGAGUUGAAUUCUGAAUACGACUUUACGGAAAAUAUCAGUGAGAUUGAAAGGACAAUUCAAUCAAUUUCACCUAAUGCUGUUAGAGUAUCAGGGCAUUUUACAUUCUACAACUUAGGAGAAAAGGAGUUAUUGUUUCAGUUUGGACUGCAGUGUUUAAUAAAUACUGCGGAAUAUGAUGAAGGCAUAAAUGCUGGUAAAGCGUACAUGUCUGUCGCUAUGUUUUGCAAGAAAUACUUUACAAGAUUUGCAUACCGUGAACAAAAUAUUGAGAUUUUUAUUGCUCAGUGUAUAUUACGCUCUAUGAAACUUGGAUGCGAACAGGCACGGCAGUUGUUACCUUUGAUAUUUACAUAUAAAAAUGUGUUUAUUGAAGAGAACUGCUUGGAGGAAUUUGGUACGGACAUGGAUGUUGAUGAUUCCACCCCAUGCUAUAACUGAUGGUCUUUGAAAAGGCUGUGACUCAUGCAUGGCACAAGAAGCAAAGCGUCUCCACAUCUUCUCUACACAUCCUGACGGGCUGAGAAGACACCUCUCCGUAAUGGGUAUUCUACCGGAUCCCUUUGCGAAAUAAAAGAAGAAACGGCAAAGCACUACCUCACAGAAUGUGAUAGUUAUAUCAAGUACCUAAGUGGAUGGUGUUUAAAUGGUUGCCCCAACUUUUUGUCAAGUUGACUGAAUCUUCAUCAAAAGUCUUGUUACCU